rnacentral:rRNA from 1 species
UACGUAGGGUGCGAGCGUUAAUCGGAUUUACUGGGCGUAAAGCGUGCGCAGGCGGUUUUGUAAGCCAGGUGUGAAAUCCCCGGGCUCAACCUGGGAAUGGCAUUUGGGACUGCAAGGCUGGAGUGCGGCAGAGGAGACUGGAAUUCCUGGUGUAGCAGUGAAAUGCGUAGAUAUCAGGAGGAACACCGAUGGCGAAGGCAGGUCUCUGGGCUGACACUGACGCUCAUGCACGAAAGCGUGGGGAGCAAACAGG